GACGAACGCUGGCGGCGUGCUUAACACAUGCAAGUCGAACGGAAAGGCCCUGCUUUUGUGGGGUGCUCGAGUGGCGAACGGGUGAGUAACACGUGAGUAACCUGCCCUUGACUUUGGGAUAACUUCAGGAAACUGGGGCUAAUACCGGAUAGGAGCUCCUGCUGCAUGGUGGGGGUUGGAAAGUUUCGGCGGUUGGGGAUGGACUCGCGGCUUAUCAGCUUGUUGGUGGGGUAGUGGCUUACCAAGGCUUUGACGGGUAGCCGGCCUGAGAGGGUGACCGGCCACAUUGGGACUGAGGUACGGCCCAGAAUCCUACGGGAGGCAGCAGUGGGGAAUAUUGCACAAUGGGCGGAAGCCUGAUGCAGCAACGCCGCGUGCGGGAUGACGGCCUUCGGGUUGUAAACCGCUUUCGCCUGUGACGAAGCGUGAGUGACGGUAAUGGGUAAAGAAGCACCGGCUAACUACGUG
rnacentral:rRNA from 1 species